GAUGAACGCUGGCGGCGUGCCUAACACAUGCAAGUCGAACGGAAAGGCCCUGCUCUGGGGGGGUGCUCGAGGGGCGAGGGGGUGUGUAACACGUGAGUAACCCCGCCUUGACUGUGUGAUAACUCCAGGAAACUGCGGCUAAUACAGGAUAGGAGCUCCGGCAGCAGGGUGGGGGUUGGGAAGUUUCGGCUGUUGGGGAUGGACUCGCGGCUUAUCUGCUUGGUGGGGGGGUAGUGGCUUACCACGGCUUUGACGGGUAGGCGGCCUGGGAGGGUGACCGGCGCCCUGGGGCCUGAGGUACGGCGCAGUCUCCAACGGUGGGCAGCGGUCGGGAAUAUUGCACAGUGGGCCGGCGCGUGAUGCAGCGACGCCGCGUUCGUGAUGCCGGCCUUCGGGUUAUGAACCGCUUUCGCCUGUGACGAAGCGUGAGUGACGGUACUGGGUGAAGAAGCACCGGCUAACUACGUG
rnacentral:rRNA from 1 species